AUUGAACGCUGGCGGCAGGCCUAACACAUGCAAGUCGAACGAGUGGCGGACGGGUGAGUAAUGUAUGGGAAUCUGCCCGAUAGAGGGGGAUAACUACUGGAAACGGUAGCUAAUACCGCAUACCAUCGGAUGAACCCAUAUGGGAUUAGCUAGUAGGUGGGGUAACGGCUCACCUAGGCGACGAUCCCUAGCUGGUCUGAGAGGAUGACCAGCCACGCUGGAACUGAGACACGGCCCAGACUCCUACGGGAGGCAGCAGUGGGGAAUAUUGCACAAUGGGCGCAAGCCUGAUGCAGCCAUGCCGCGUGUAUGAAGAAGGCCUUCGGGUUGUAAAGUACUUUCAGCGGGGAGGUGUUACCCGCAGAAGAAGCACCGGCUAACUCCGUGCCAGCAGCCGCGGUAAUUC
rnacentral:rRNA from 1 species